GCACCCGCGGUAAUUCCAGCACCAAUAGCGUAUAUUAAUGCUGCUGCUGUUAAAAAGCUCGUAGUUGGAUCAAGAGUUGGACAGUGCACGGUGGCCCUGUUUUUCCUUCUGGCUCCGGUCAGGGGGGCGGCAGCGGAACAACCCCGUGCGCCAAACUGUCCACUCUAACAGACCGAAACGGUUCCCUGUGAGUAGGCUCCUUAAUUGGGGCUGAAAGCGCCUACGCAUCAACCAUAUGCAUACGGGACGUCGGUCAAUGUUACUGUGAACAAACCAGCGUGUCCAAAGCAGGCUUUCGCCUGAAUGUUCGAGCAUGGAAUAACAAGGGAUCGAUUCUCUCGGUUCUUUUUGUUGGUUUUUAACCCGAGAAGGAGAAAUUCAGGCCACGGUGUCUGAGCUAGGUUUCCCUGGCCUUCGGGUCAGGCCCUAGUUAGGCCGUGUCCUUACGGGAUCAAUAGGGACUGACGGGGUCGUACCUACUUUCGCGUCAGAGGUGAAAUUCUUAGAUCGCGGGAAGAGGAACUUCUGCGAAAGCAUUCGACAAGAAUGUCUUCAUUAAUCAAGAACGAGAGUGUGGGGAUCGAAGAUGAUCAGAUACCGUCGUAGUCCACUACUGUAAACAAUGCCGUCUCAGGAUUGAGAAGUGAACAGAAUGACUUUCACAGCACUAACCCCUGAAACGAGAAAUCAAAGAUUAUGGGUUCAGGGGGGAGUACAUUCGCAAGGCUGAAACUUAAAGGAAUUGACGGAAUGACACCACAAGGCGUGGAGUAUGCGGCUUAAUUUGACUCAACACGGGGAAUUUUACUAGGUCAGGACAAUGUAAGGAUUGACAGAUUGAGAGCUCUUUCUCGAUCCAUUGUGUGGUGGUGCAUGGCCGCUCCUGGUUGGUGGAGUGAUUUGUCUGGUUGAUUCCGUUAACGAACGAGAUCUCGACCCUUAAAUAGGUGCGCAUGUCGAUUGUAGCUUCACCUCCGCCGGCUUGCUGGAUUGGAGUGGGGCGAGACUGUGCGAAUACUUCUUAAGGGGACUGUGUGCGUCUAUAGCACGCGGAAGAGCGAGCCAAUAGCAGGUCUGUGAUGCUCCUAAAUGUCCUAGGCUGCACGCGCACUACACUGAUGCAAUAAACGAGUCUGAGUACCUUCUGGUAACCUACCUGGAAGCAGGUGGGAAAUCUUUUGAACUUGCAUCGUGAUGAG
rnacentral:rRNA from 1 species